rnacentral:rRNA from 1 species
CCCUUAGAUGUUCUGGGCCGCACGCGUGCUACACUGAGUGGAUCAGCGGGUCAGGUUGCGCGAAAGCGUUUCCUAAUCUUUAAAUCCGCUCGUGAUGGGGAUUGACGGUUGCAAUUUUCUGUCAUGAACGAGGAAUACCUUGUAAGCGCGGGUCAUCAUCCCGCGCUGAAUACGUCCCUGCCCUUUGUACACACCGCUCGUCGCUCCUACCGAUUGAGUGGUCCGGUGAGGCUUUGGGAUCUGAGCGGAAAGAGCGUUUCGCUGUUUCUGCUCGGAAAACUCAGUCGAACCUUAUCAUUUAGAGGAAGGAGAAGUCGUAACA